AUCCGAAAGUACAUGUAACUAUUUAAACAUUCAACCUAAAGCGAGAUUUUAUGGUUUUGGUUUAUAUUACAAACCCAAGCAGACGAUUACUAUGUGUGCCCGUGAAUGUUUUCUCCGAUUAGAGUGUCUAUCUAUCACGUUCAAUACCACAACUAAGCAGUGUAGAACCCACACCUCCGAUCAUAUAAACCAUCCCUGGAAUGUACUGCCUUCCAAUGACUCCUCGUACGCGGGGAUACAUUCGUGGACGCUGACAAGAGGUUUGGAAGGCUGUUCUACCAGACCAUGUCCUAAACAAACCAGAUGUAUACCAAUAAAGAACAACAACUACACAUGUAUCAUCUCAGAGUGUGAUUUUGGUGUGAACAUUGACUAUCUAACGGGAUGGAAUUGGCGGCCAGUAGGUCGGACGAAGACUUUAAAGUGUCGUUCCAAUUAUUAUCUUAAUGGAACUGCUAUUACAAGUACAUGCCUUGCGAACGGCACUUGGUCAUACACGGAUGAAAUCAUCGCUGAAUGCCUGCGCAUACCGGAAACUACUACAGUGGAAUAUAAUACAACACUUCCCACGAAUGACUCCUCUACGACGGACGUUCCGUUAAAUACCAGUACCGUCCCGUGAUAUGUAUUAAUGACUGAGAACUAAUUGGUUAUUUGAGGGUGAAGAAAAGACUUUACCGGUCUUUACCGGGGAAGGGAACAGCUCAGAUCACAUGCACUACGAUGUCGUAACAAUGAAUUUUUGACAUGACGGCAUUGUAUUGUUUCCGUGACGACAAAGAAUUGUUCUGAAUGGGGGAUCCCUGUGUCAACCCUAUGAUUGUUGUUUUUUUGGGGGAUGGAUUUCAAAUAUAAUAAUUUUGACUGGCACUUUGUAUAUUGAUAAAUAUGCAAAAAAUAAAUAAAUGGUUGACGAGAGGCUAUUUGGUGUUUCUCUGACGUCAUAAAAUGAAAGUGAAUGAGUAAGUCUCCGUUUCAAGCCUGGAUGGGUUUAGAUAAGGAAUCAGAUCGUUGUUUAUUCAACUGGGAUAGGUUUAUCUGUAAAUAUGUGAGAAAAAUUAUCAAAAUACGAGUCUUUACAAAAAAUGGAUAGGAAUAUCUCAACCUUAGCGUAAAAGAGUUUUGCAGGCAAAGCGAAAAUCUUACACUCGGGUUGAGAUACCCCUGUCCACGUAACAGACCUAAAUACAAUUGUAUCUAUGUCGGUGCCUGCUUUGCGCUGAAACUGUAUGAUAUAUAUAUGGCAUCUUGGCAUACAUUUUACUUUGAGUCUGAAUGAGAUCAUAAUAAUUCUCGGUUACCCCUGUCGCUAACAUAAAGCGCCCAUGGAUCAGGUAUCAAUAAUAGUACACUAUAUUCAAGGUUAAUACCAUGUAUUGGGUAGCAUCCUCAACACAAAGUGUCUUAUUAUGUUCUACAAUAGAACAAUGCUUAAUAUCAAAUGACGACGUCCGUGUCGUUAUAUUCACAGGGAGACAACUCUCAUUUGGAUUAAAAUUAGUGACAAAUGUAGACAAACAAAGAUUGUUUAGAAGCUAAUUCACAGUAGAUUGCACUCUCGUUGUAAUAUACUGACAAAAUGUGUGAACAUCCAGUGUAUAUGAUAACGUGGAUGUAAUGACCAUUUUGGUGAUACAAUUACGUACGUAUUACCUGUGAAUAUAAUAUUGAUAUAUACACCGUGAUGGCCAACAAACACGUGCAAGUUGACGUAUAUGAGUCAAGUUAUGUAUUUGUGUAAAAAUGAUGCAGAAUAAAAAAAACAAGAAUCCUCUGAUUUGAAGUGUAUCAUUUCCCCCUCAGUCUUUUAAAUUAUGAUGGCGCUACAACUUUACCUCUCUAUGAUGGCCUUCAUUGUGAAAUAAAACGGAACUUAUCAUCCAAGUACGCUGUACUAAUGCUAUAUGAUUCACUAGCUAUGCUCUACAAGGUUUGUGUACUGACCCGUUUCUAAUGUUUAAUACAAUAACAUAUAUAAUGUACUGUGUUUUGCAUUCAAUGAACCAUUAUUAUGUUUUGCUAAUCCUCGUUUCCACGAUUGAUCACUAUUUUUGUAACUUUAUUUUACAUUAUAUAGAUAUGUAUAUACACACACAUCGUCGGUAACCCAAGGUCCUGACGCUUACGGUCCGUUACCGACGAUGAUACAUACCUAGAAACUGUCAAUUUUAUCAUCAUUGCAGCUUGAAAAUUCGACGGAGUAUGUUUUAUGUCCAUAUCAAUGAGUCAAUUCCUAACGUAAUACGUCACUUCAGUCGAUAUUAUUCCUAAUGGGUAGUGUAAUUGGAGUCCACUUACAUUUACAUAAGGAUGUGUUCAGUAAACGUAUCCCUCAUUUGAAAUUCUUUUAUUGCUUUGUGUAGCUUGUCUUCAAAGUACGUCUUUGAUUUACCAUUGACUUUAGAUCUAUACUCAAUAAUACAAUUAAGAUAAACUCGCUCCGUAAAAGAUAUGUAAACGAUAUGUAAGAGAUACUUCAGGGUGUGUAAAUGGUUAUUUUGUUAUUGAUACCUGGUUUGGUUUUGUACAAUUUUCGUUCAAUGACUGAAAACUGAAUAUAUCUGUAACUUUUAAAUCUUUUUUUGUCUUGAUUCAAAUAUACGGGAAGGAAAUUAUCAUGUUGCAAUUUGCAAAUGGAGAACCACCAUCAAUGUCGGCCUUGGUAUGAAGUUCAUAUAGUACAUAUAUAACGGACAUGAUCAGUAUGUAUACCAUCAAUACAUUGUAAUUAAUAUCAGGAAUAAGUAAUAUCGUCUUGGUAAUCUAAUGUGAUAAUAUAAUGAAUGAUAAUCCCGGUAGGAAAAUCAUUGGCCAUGAAAAGGUCAAUAAAUGGUUUAUUUAAUGACAGACAAUACAUUGUUUUUUAUGAUGUUUCAUUCGUAUUGGUGUUUAUUUGUCGCUGUUUUGGUUUGGAUUUGAUUCUAUACUUUGUAUUAUAACAUUGACGUUGUGACGUACUUCCAAUUACAUAGUGUCGCUUAAAAUAUUUUAUGCUAAUAUUGGCGAAGUAAGUUGAUGAUGGCUUGUUGUUUGUUUUGAAAACUUGCGUGUUGUAUUGAUGAAUUUCUGUUUUAAUCAGAGAGUGUUUCCGUACAAUUGUAUACAAGGUUUUGUAUAAGUUGAACCCUUAUCAGUGACCUCUCUUAAUUAAUGGAAUAAAUAAGCCUUUAUAAUUAAAAUGCGAAUAGUGGUUGUUUGAAGGGUUAAAUAAAGUGUGAUUAACGCAUAUUGUAUUUGAAAUACUGCACUAGAUAAUUACAUUAAUCGUGUGGAGUGUAAACAACAAAAAAGAUAAGUUUGCCCGUUGCCCAUUAAAAUAUUUGAUUUCUAAUAUGCCACAGGAGUUGCGUAAA